rnacentral:lncRNA from 1 species
AUCCAGAAGCAUAAGUCCCUUCCCAAAAUGUCUGGAGAUUGGGAGCUGGAAGUGAACGGCACGGAGGCUAAAUUAUUGCGCAAAGUUGCCGGAGAAAAGAUCACUGUCACUUUCAACAUUAACAAUAGCAUCCCUCCAACCUUUGAUGGUGAAGAGGAGCCCUCACAGGGGCAGAAGGCCGAAGAGCAGGAGCCAGAACUGACAUCAACUCCCAAUUUUGUGGUUGAAGUUACAAAGACUGAUGGCAAGAAGACCCUUGUACUGGACUGCCACUAUCCUGAGGACGAGGCCUUGUAUGACCACCUAAUGGAUUUCCUUGCGGACCGAGGGGUGGAUAACACUUUUGCAGAUGAGUUGGUGGAGCUCAGCACAGCCCUGGAGCACCAGGAAUAUAUCACCUUUCUUGAGGACCUCAAAAGCUUUGUCAAGAGUCAGUAGAACUGUGAGACUGAAGGCCUCAAUCUAAACGGCCAGCUCUGGUGGGCGAGCAAAAGCUGCCUUGACAUCACAACUAUGCUUUGAAAUGGCUGUCAUCCUAAUAUAUGGGGGAAAGCAAGUUUAAAUUAUCGCCGUUACACCUCCAUUUACUAUUCCUUUGGGCUCUUUUCCUGUACACAUCUAUUAUUUGUAGAUUUUUGUAUGACAUGAUGAUGAACAAUAAAUCUGACUUCAUCUCCUCCAG